AAGGCCCUGCUUGCAGGGUACUCGAGUGGCGAACGGGUGAGUAACACGUGGGUGUUCUGCCCUGCACUUCGGGAUAAGCCUGGGAAACUGGGUCUAAUACCGGAUAGGAGCCAUUUUUAGUGUGAUGGUUGGAAAGUUUUUUCGGUGUAGGAUGAGCUCGCGGCCUAUCAGCUUGUUGGUGGGGUAAUGGCCUACCAAGGCGGCGACGGGUAGCCGGCCUGAGAGGGUGGACGGUCACAUUGGGACUGAGAUACGGCCCAGACUCCUACGGGAGGCAGCAGUGGGGAAUAUUGCACAAUGGGCGCAAGCCUGAUGCAGCGACGCCGCGUGGGGGAUGACGGCCUUCGGGUUGUAAACUCCUUUCGCUAGGGAC
rnacentral:rRNA from 1 species